UCCCUCGUGGCGCAAUUGGCUAGCGCGUUCGACUGUUACUUUGAAGCAAUUCAAUCGCAGAUUCAUCGAGAGGUUGGUGGUUCAAGCCCACCCGAGGGAG
rnacentral:tRNA from 1 species